UCACUGUGAUCAUCGCGUGAUCUCACGUGUUGACUGGGCUAAAUACAUGAAUGUUAAUAAUUUUUUUUUAAGAAAUUGUUUGUGUGUGUGUGUGUGUGUGUGUGUGUGUACCGUUUUCUUUUCUGCGUUUCACUUCUGCUCUAGCUUGCUUCCUUUAAAUAAAGCUAAAUAUCGUUGGCUCUGUGAUAAAUUGCAUAUUAUGUUUCUAGAUUAUAUGCUGAUGGCCGUGCAGCAGAGGAGCGCAGAGUCUCCUGUCGGACAACAUCUCUAAGUCGCUAUGUACCAUGUUACUAGAUCCUAUGUACCCAGCCUCAACCAUUCAUCAGAAGGACUGUGAAAGCAGGAACUCUUUGAACCACCAGUGGCAGUUUCCACGGGAUGAAAAAGGGCAUAGUAGUGGAUGAUGAGGUCCUGAGACCAUAUGGGGUGAAGAUCAAGACAACUAAACCAAAGGUGGACUGUAACCUACUGGACUAUAUGAUAGACUUCAUACUGACCACUACUGCCAUGUAUGCAGCAUGAAAAGUUUUUGAAAAGAGGGGCAUUUCCUUCAUCAAGUAAAAGUGUGGAGGAUUCAUCUGGCCUUCAUCGGCCCCCAUGAGGUGACUCGAUGUAGAAUAAAUCAGCUUGCUUUAGGCUUGAAAUGACUGAAAUCUUCUCAUGUGAGUUGAUAUCAUUUUAAACAUUCUUUAAAGUACUUCUCAUUUCUUGUGAAUGUAUUUUGUAGUAUGUGUAAAACUUUUCCACUGAAAGAACCUUUUUUACCUUCAUUGAUAUUGUAAUCAAGGUUGUUAAUGCUAUGGACUGCACACAUCUGCCUGUGUUGGGCUUGUGUUUACAGGUUGUGUAAAACUAGGCCUGGCUACAACAACUAAUCGAUAAUUAAAAUUAAAACGAAUUUGAAUAGUGCAUCAAAACAAACAGACCGCUCAUAAUUCUGACUAAAAUACACAUUUUGCUCAAAUAUUUUUUUGUUAGAAAUUAAAUGUAGGUUUAAAACCCUACAUGUAACACAAGUAAUCAUAUUUAUGAGAGCAGUAACAGUAAAGACACUAUUGUUGGAACUGUCCAUUAAUAUAAUAUAAUAUAAUUGCUCUGUUCAGACGAAUGAUUGUGUUUGUUCCUCGUACCUCUUACAAGUUAACAUUGUGUUUUUUUGUUUAAAUUGUUUUAAAUUCUGUUUCAAAAUAACAAGCAAUCUGUUGUUUUUAGGUUUAGAAUGUAAUGUUUGUAUUUUAACACUUUAAUGCUUAUAAUGAACAGCAGAGCCUACAUAGAGACAUUCUUUAUAUUUGUUUUCAUAGGCACACUGUAAAAAAUUGCUGUAAAAUUUACAGUAACUUACUGGCAAUUUUGGUUGCCAGUAAGACUGUAAAUUUACAAGAGUACUGUAAAUCAAUAAUUACAAUUGUACUGUAAAAAUACAGCAAACUCUUGCAUGCUGUAAAAUUGUUGUGAUGGUGUGUAAACAUUUGGUAAACUUAUUUAAUUUGAUUCUACUAAGGAACAUUUCUUAAUAUAAAACUGCAAACAUUUAAUCUGUAAUAGUGAAGUUGCUAAAAACAUGACUUUAACCUCAAAUCGUUGCAGUUUAUCAUCAACUAUAGCACACAUGCAUGCGGUAAAACACUUAACAAAGAGAUCAUCAGUGUAUCAGCAACUCUACAGUUACUGUCUUUAAAUAAACAGCAGAACAUCAGUGUUUGUGGCUCAUCAUUGACUGAAGC